UGUUUGCAUAGUGUGUGUAUAUAAUGCAGUGUGUUUGUGUAGUGUGUUUAUAUAAUGCACACUACACAAACACACUGCAUUAUAUACACACACUAUACAAAC
rnacentral:miRNA from 1 species